CACUACAAGAACAACUAUGCCAAUGAACCAGAGCUUUCUGAUACUAGAACAAUAUUCAAAGAAUGUACAUGGACAGAGUUAUGGCUCCAACUGCAUAUGUGGAAGAGAAUAGACUUGGUGGGCACCAAUGGAAGGAGAAGUCCUUGGUCCUCCCUAGGUUUGACUCCAAGUUCAAGGACCUUUUCUUCUUGCGAAAAAGUGUAAAGGUCAUGAGUUCUCAGGAAAACAACUGUGCCCUUCACAACACUUGGCUUUUGGAAUAAAGAAAUAAAUGAUAUAAACCCUUUGACUUCCAGGAACCAUAAGAACAGGGAAGUCUACAA